UACGAAGGGGGCUAGCGUUGCUCGGAAUCACUGGGCGUAAAGGGUGCGUAGGCGGGUCUUUAAGUCAGGGGUGAAGUCCUGGAGCUCAACUCCAGAACUGCCUUUGAUACUGAGGAUCUUGAGUUCGGGAGAGGUGAGUGGAACUGCGAGUGUAGAGGUGAAAUUCGUAGAUAUUCGCAAGAACACCAGUGGCGAAGGCGGCUCACUGGCCCGAUACUGACGCUGAUGCACGAAAGCGUGGGGAGCAAACAGG
rnacentral:rRNA from 1 species